UCGCCUACGGGGGGCUGCAGUGGGGAAUAUUGCACAAUGGGCGCAAGCCUGAUGCAGCCAUGCCGCGUGUAUGAAGAAGGCCUUCGGGUUGUAAAGUACUUUCAGCGGGGAGGAAGGUGUUGAGGUUAAUAACCUCAGCAAUUGACGUUACCCGCAGAAGAAGCACCGGCUAACUCCGUGCCAGCAGCCGCGGUAAUACGGAGGGUGCAAGCGUUAAUCGGAAUUACUGGGCGUAAAGCGCACGCAGGCGGUGUGUGAAGUCGGAGGUGAAAUACCCGGGCUCAACCUGGGAACUGCAUGCGAAACUGGCAGGCUAGAGUCUGGUAGAGGGGGGUAGAAUUCCAGGUGUAGCGGUGAAAUGCGUAGAGAUCUGGAGGAAUACCGGUGGCGAAGGCGGCCCCCUGGACAAAGACUGACGCUCAGGUGCGAAAGCGUGGGGAGCAAACAGGAUUAGAUACCCUUGUAGUCGA
rnacentral:rRNA from 1 species